rnacentral:misc_RNA from 1 species
AUCAAAUUCCACACUACAUUAAUGCACUCCCAAGCGAAGUCCAUACAGUUAAAUAAGUGAUGGCAAUACCUUGAUAUGUUGAAAAAUUUCCCCGGCUAACGACCACCAGUGAACUGUAAUAUCAAUCAACAACAACUAUACACUUGACAAGUGCUUGGUAAUAGAUUAGGACUCUAUGGAUUAACUUACGCUUGCCCAUUUAAAUUUUCA